AGAGUUUGAUCCUGGCUCAGGACGAACGCUGGCGGCGUGCCUAAUACAUGCAAGUCGAGCGGACGGAUGGGAGCUUGCUCCCUGAAGUCAGCGGCGGACGGGUGAGUAACACGUGGGCAACCUGCCUGUAAGACUGGGAUAACUUCGGGAAACCGGAGCUAAUACCGGAUAAUCCUUUUCCCCUCAUGUGGAAAAGCUGAAAGACGGUUUACGCUGUCACUUACAGAUGGGCCCGCGGCGCAUUAGCUAGUUGGUGAGGUAACGGCUCACCAAGGCGACGAUGCGUAGCCGACCUGAGAGGGUGAUCGGCCACACUGGGACUGAGACACGGCCCAGACUCCUACGGGAGGAAGCAGUAGGGAAUCUUCCGCAAUGGACGAAAGUCUGACGGAGCAACGCCGCGUGAGUGAUGAAGGUUUUCGGAUCGUAAAACUCUGUUGUUAGGGAAGAACAAGUACAAGAGUAACUGCUUGUACCUUGACGGUACCUAACCAGAAAGCCACGGCUAACUACGUGCCAGCAGCCGCGGUAAUACGUAGGUGGCAAGCGUUGUCCGGAAUUAUUGGGCGUAAAGCGCGCGCAGGCGGUCCUUUAAGUCUGAUGUGAAAGCCCACGGCUCAACCCGUGGA
rnacentral:rRNA from 1 species